AAUCUUUUAUUUAUUUAUUUUAAUUUUUUUACUUUAUCAGAACUACUACUGCAACCUAUGAACAUCCCAAUUAUGUAAAUGUAUAUAUAUCAAUAAAGAACAUGAAAGAUUGUUAAGACUUAACUUUCCAUUUCACCAUCAUCAUCUUCCUCUUCUUCACCUUCACCAUCACAAACUUUAUUAUCAUCAUCAUCGUAAUAAUCUUCCUCCUCUUCUUCUUGUUCUUCACCAUAAUCAUUGUCGGCGUCUUCUUUAUCAUAAUCAUCUUCUUCACCACCAUCAAUGUAAUCAUCUUCCUCUUUUUUUCUUCUUCAUCACCUUCACCAUCAUCAUAGUCAUCUUUCUCUUCCUCCUCCUCAUCUUCUUCUUUGUAGUCUUCAUCAUCAUCUUUAUCUUCUAAUUCUUCUUUUCUCUUCCCGGUUUUCUUCCUCAUAGCAUCAACGUUCUUUGCAAAGGUUCUACGACGGAGUCUGAUGUUUCUACUAUUAGCUUUACCAUCUCUCUCUCUCUCUCUUCUCCUAGAAUUCAAUUUCUUCUUCUUCCUCUUUAAUUACUUACAAAACCCUAGCUAACUUAGUAGUAGAGUGUGGCUUUUAAUUAUUAUAUAGACCCACAUAUAUACAGAUUUCUUAAGUUUCUAAAAAUAAAACCCAAUCCAGAUAGGAUAUUGACUCAAAGUUAGCCUAGGAAUAAUUAUUUUGCUGUCCACGUAGGAUUGAAUUAUCAUGUUUUGUU
rnacentral:lncRNA from 1 species